rnacentral:rRNA from 1 species
UGCCAGCAGCCGCGGUAAUACGAAGGGACCUAGCGUAGUUCGGAAUUACUGGGCUUAGAGUUCGUAGGUGGUUGAAAAAGUUGGUGGUGAAAUCCCAGAGCUUAACUCUGGAACUGCCAUCAAAACUUUUCAGCUAGAGUUUGAUAGAGGAAAGCAGAAUUUCUAGUGUAGAGGUGAAAUUCGUAGAUAUUAGAAAGAAUACCAAUUGCGAAAGCAGAUUACUAACAAUUAACUGACGCUGAGGGACGAAGGCGUGGGUAGCGAACAGGAUUAGAUA